CAUGCAAACUCCAUGCAGAAAGACCCAGGUAGGACUCAAACCCAGGACGUUCUUGCUGCAAGGCAACAGUCCUACCCACUGUGCCUGUACCCCAUGCUUGUUUUUGUGACCCCAAAAAUUAGAUUAAUCAUAUUAGUUCAAAUCCUUCAAAUAACUGUAACACAAAUAGUGUAUGUUCCUGUCUCUUCCAUACCGUUACUCUCUCCCCCUCUGCUUAAUUAUCGCUACACAUUUAACCUGCACUUAAUUGCUCCACCAACCUUCUCUUCUGUCUUCGCCCCUAUUUAUUCAGUCAACUUAGUCGCACUCAUUGUGAGGCCCUCCAUUAUGCACCCCCCCAUCUGACCUAAGUCCUGUUUUGCCUGCCUGUAAGUUCCUUUACUUCAUUUACUUAAUAAAUAUGUCAGAUACGCAGUUCUGUGCUGUGGAGGUGUGGUGUUGUUUGUACCUUUCUCCAGCAGGAUGUGACAGUUGGAUGCUGGCCACUGGUGUUUCCCAUCCACGCCAAUUAGGAGGAGCAGUUAAAGCAGCUGGAGAUGGAUGGAAGGUGCAUCCACUUUUGCAUCUGACUCCACCGAACUCCUCUGAAGAUCAUCCACUCUGAUGUCCAUUACAAGUUACAAGAUCCUUUCUUGCACUUCAGUUGACCGCUACUCCAAUCACCACCAAGCCUGUCCACUCUCCAACAUAGAAUCCAUCGAGCCUCAACCCGUACCUCCACAAAGACAACCUGUCAUUGCGGCAGGUCUCGUCAUUGAUGUCUUCCGCAUUCUUCACAACCAUGUCUGUGGGGUGGAUAGUAGAGCAGUCAUUAGUGAAGAAGGUGACGAGGGCAGGCCUGAGGACACAAUCAUGCGGUAUACCAGUGUUGAGGAUCAGUGGGACAGAUACUCCACUCUCUCCUCGUCUGUCUACCUGGUUUGCUCCUGCCUGCUACUGGAUUAUUCUGUCACCUCUGAGUGUCAAGUUAAGUCUCUGCCUGCUGCUGGAUGUUUCCUGUCUCACCUCUGAACUUCUAGGGAAGCUUCUGCUUGCUGUGGCUCUGGCCUGCAAGUAUUCCCUCUGCCGUGCUGCUGGUCCUGCUUGCCAGCUCUUGCUCACAUCUUCACCCCUGUUCCAGCCAGUCCUGCCUCUCUGGUUCCAGCCUCCUAUAGCCAUCCUUAUUCAAUAAACUCACAAUAACCUAGCUCCGUGUGUGUGGUGUAUCACUGGGUUCAUCCAUAGAAAAAAUCCUGACAAUAUUGUUCGAGCCCAGAAUUCAGUAGCCUCCUGAGACCAUCCUGAUCUCGCGAGCUUUCAAGGUUUCACUCGCAGAUCAGUCUGGCUACUCUCCGUUAAAGAAAAUUUGGAGCAGUUCACCAAACGAAUGUCCAAUCACCGUUGGCUUUGAGACGGGUUGAGGUGUGACGCAACGAG